GCUAAAUAUCUAGCUUAAAAACACAAACUAUACAACAACAUACAACACUUUCACUAAACCAAGACCAUAAAAAUAAAACAUUCUCCCGCCCUAGUAUGAGUGACAGAAAAGGCCCCAUAAGCUAUAAUUAUAGUACCGUAAGGGAAAGAUGAAAAAGAAAUGAAACAAACCAUUUAAGCCCACUAAAGCAGAGCCUAGCCCUCGUACCUUUUGCAUCAUGAUUUAGCCAGCCACCCUGAGCAAAGAGCCCUUUAGUUCACCACCCCGAAACUAGGUGAGCUACCCCGAGACAGCCUAAUGAAGGGCGAACCCAUCUCUGUGGCAAAAGAGUGGGAAGAUCUCCAGGUAGAGGUGAUAAGCCUACCGAACCUAGUUAUAGCUGGUUGCCUAAAAAAUGAAUAGAAGUUCAGCCCCGCCCUCCCCCCUUCACAAAAAGUUAUAACUGACUCAAGAACUAGGGUAAUAGGCGGGAGUUAGUCAGAGGGGGUACAGCCCCUCUGAAAAGGGAUACAACCCUCCCAGGAGGUUAAAGAUUAUACUAAAUAAGACUCCUGCACUAGUAGGCCUAAAAGCAGCCACCUAAACAGAAAGCGUUAAAGCUCAAGCAGACUAAAAAUCCAUUAUUCCAAUAAUUUUAUCCUAAACCCCUAAAUUAUAUUAGGCCACUCUAUGCAACCAUAGAAGCGAUACUGCUAAAAUGAGUAAUAAGAAGGACCCCCCCCCUUCUCCUGGCCCACGUGUAAACUAGAACGGACCCCCCACUAGCUAUUAACGAACCCACCUAAAGAGGGCAAUAUGACUACAAAAAUAACCAAGAAAAAAUCAUAAUAUUUAAUCGUUACCCCAACACUGGAGAGCCCAUAAGGAAAGACUAAAAGAAAAGGAAGGAACUCGGCAAACACAAGCCUCGCCUGUUUACCAAAAACAUCGCCUCCCGAAAAAUAAAACAUAUGGGAGGUCUUACCUGCCCAGUGACUAUAAGUUAAACGGCCGCGGUAUUUUGACCGUGCAAAGGUAGCGCAAUCACUUGUCUUUUAAAUGAAGACCCGUAUGAAUGGUGAAACGAGGGCUUAGCUGUCUCCCCUUUCUGGUCAAUGAAAUUGAUCUGCCCGUGCAGAAGCGGGCCUAAUAUCACAAGACGAGAAGACCCUUUGGAGCUUAAGAUAAUAAACCAACUAUGUUAAUAAUUAAAAUAACCUAAACUAAAUAGCCCUGGUUUACAUCUUCGGUUGGGGCGACCACGGGAAAAAAUAAAACUCCCAAGAAGAUAGGGAAUACCCUAAAGCCAAGAGAGACAUCUCUAAGACGCAGAACAUCUGACUAAUAGAUCCGGCUACCUGCCGACCAACGAACAAAGUUACCCCAGGGAUAACAGCGCAAUCCCCUUCCAGAGUCCAUAUAGACAAGGGGGUUUAGGA
rnacentral:rRNA from 1 species